rnacentral:rRNA from 1 species
CGAAAGCGUGGGUAGCAAACAGGAUUAGAUACCCUGGUAGUCCACGCCGUAAACGAUGGGUACUAGAUGUUGUGGGAAUUGACCCCUACAGUGUCGACGCUAACGCAUUAAGUACCCCGCCUGGGAAGUACGGCCGCAAGGUUAAAACUCAAAGGAAUUGACGGGGGCCCGCACAAGCGGUGGAGCAUGUGGUUUAAUUCGAUGCAACGCGAAAAACCUUACCUGGGUUAGACAAUAGGAGACAGGAGUAGAGAUAUUCCCUUGUAGCAAUACACUCCUAGUUUAGGUGCUGCAUGGCUGUCGUCAGCUCGUAUCGUGAGAUGUCGGGUUAAGUCCCUUAACGAGCGCAACCCUUAUCCUUAGUUGCCAUCAUUCAGUUGGGCACUCUAUGGAGACCGCCGGUGUUAAACCGGAGGAAGGCGGGGAUGACGUCAAGUCCUCAUGGCCCUUAUGUCCAGGGCAACACACGUGCUACAAUGGCCGGUACAGAGGGUUGCCAACCCGCAAAGGGGAGCUAAUCUCAGAAAGCCGGUCUCAGUUCGGAUUGAAGUCUGCAACUCGACUUCAUGAAGCUGGAAUCGCAAGUAAUCGCAGAUCAGCACGCUGCGGUGAAUACGUUCCCGGGCCUUGUACACACCGCCCGUCACACCACGAAAGUUGAUUGCACCAGAAGUCGCCGUACUAACCGUAAGGAGGUAGGCGCCCAAGGUUCGGUCGAUGAUUGGGGUGAAGUCGUAACAAGGUAGCCGUA